rnacentral:rRNA from 1 species
UACGAAGGGGGCUAGCGUUGUUCGGAAUACUGGGCGUAAAGCGUGCGCAGGCGGUUUUGUAAGCCAGAUGUGAAAUCCCCGGGCUCAACCUGGGAAUGGCAUUUGGGACUGCAAGGCUUGAGUGCGGCAGAGGAGACUGGAAUUCCUGGUGUAGCAGUGAAAUGCGUAGAUAUCAGGAGGAAUACCGAUGGCGAAGGCAGGUCUCUGGGCUGACACUGACGCUCAUGCACGAAAGCAUGGGAGCGAAC